UACGGAGGGUGCGAGCGUUGUUCGGAAUCACUGGGCGUAAAGCGCGUGUAGGCGGCCCAUUAAGUCUGAUGUGAAAGCCCGGGGCUCACCCCCGGAAGUGCAUUGGAAACUGAUGGACUCGAGUCCCGGAGAGGAGAGUGGAAUUCCUGGUGUAGCGGUGAAAUGCGUAGAUAUCAGGAGGAACACCGGUGGCGAAGGCGGCUCUCUGGGCAGUAACUGACGCUGAGGAGCGAAAGCGUGGGUAGCAAACAGG
rnacentral:rRNA from 1 species